ACAGUACAGCAGCAUAUUAUAACUGACUAUUGUUUUUCAGUAGGCUAUAUCAAUCUGUUUUUCACAAAUUAAAAUGUGCCAAGUCUUAUACACACACACACACGCACACACACAGUAUACAGCAGUAUAUUUAAACUGACUACUGACUUCUGUUUCUCACUAAUUAAUAUGUGCCACAUCUGUUCACAUGGAAAAGAAAUGUUUCUCUUUAAAUGCUGCACUUGAUGCCAUUAAAAAAGGUUUUAUGUCUGUAUGUAUUUUUAUUUUUAUUUUUUUAUGGUGAUUUGAAUGUGUUGCUAGAGCCUCUUAGAAAGAGAACCACUGCCUCCUGUGGAGUUAGUGUGUGUGUUUUCCUUUUCUUUCUGCCUGUUUGUGUGUAUGUUGCGUUCAGAACUGUGGAUUUGUUUCUAGGUUUGGCAGAUGAGAUGGCUACAGAAGGAAAGCACUUGUGGUGUGAGGUGGUGAAGGCCGAGGGUUGAGCGCUGAUGACCCACUCUUCUCUGAGGGUGGGAAAGCACAGUUCAGAAGGGCAAAGAUUUUCCCUGUGAAAACAUUAUCAGCCAUCUCGCCUGUUCCGUUGACUCGCGGGGAGCAGCAGUGGUCAAAGGUGUGGUUAACGGCUUAGCUCGUCAUCCCAAGCGCUUGGUCACACACUCCUCAAUGUGGCAUUGCCUGAAGGGCACUGAUAACACGCAUUCUGCACUUCUAUUGGUUGAUGUCCAGAAAACCAGCAAUCUCACACGGAAGAAUCUGUACAUUAGAGGAAAGACUGUAGCUGGCAGUAGACAUGGCUUCACAGCACAGAUGAGAUGAGGUGGGAUGUGGAGCUGGAUCUAGCACAGGAUCUAGUGAACCUCACAUUGGGUAUCCUGCACAGUAACAGUCUAUGUGUGGAGUGACAGAGAUUAUCAUUUAAA